UACGUAGGGGGCGAGCGUUGUCCGGAUUUAUUGGGCGUAAAGAGCUCGUAGGCGGUUUGGUAAGUUGGAUGUGAAAUCUCCAGGCUCAACUUGGAGGGGUCAUUCGAUACUGCCAUGACUAGAGUUCGGUAGGGGAGUGUGGAAUUCCUGGUGGAGCGGUGAAAUGCGCAGAUAUCAGGAGGAACACCCGUAGCGAAGGCGGCUCUCUGGGACGGUACUGACGCUGAGACGCGAAAGCGUGGGGAGCGAACAGG
rnacentral:rRNA from 1 species